AUUGAACGCUGGCGGCAGGCUUAACACAUGCAAGUCGAGCGGUAGCACAGGGGAGCUUGCUCCCUGGGUGACGAGCGGCGGACGGGUGAGUAAUGUCUGGGAAACUGCCUGAUGGAGGGGGAUAACUACUGGAAACGGUAGCUAAUACCGCAUAACGUCGCAAGACCAAAGAGGGGGACCUUCGGGCCUCUUGCCAUCAGAUGUGCCCAGAUGGGAUUAGCUAGUAGGUGGGGUAAUGGCUCACCUAGGCGACGAUCCCUAGCUGGUCUGAGAGGAUGACCAGCCACACUGGAACGGAGACACGGUCCAGACUCCUACGGGAGGCAGCAGUGGGGAAUAUUGCACAAUGGGCGCAAGCCUGAUGCAGCCAUGCCGCGUGUGUGAAGAAGGCCUUCGGGUUGUAAAGCACUUUCAGCGAGGAGGAAGGUGGUGAGCUUAAUACGUUCAUCAAUUGACGUUACUCGCAGAAGAAGCACCGGCUAACUCCGUG
rnacentral:rRNA from 1 species